AUUGAACGCUAGCGGGAUGCUUUACACAUGCAAGUCGAAAGGAGUGGCGGACGGGUGAGUAAUAUAUAGGAACGUGACCAAUAGAGGGGGAUAAAUACUCGAAAGAGUGGAUAAUAACGCAUACUAUUGGCGAGACCGAUAUCGGAUUAGCUAGUUGGUGGGGUAACGGCUCACCAAGGCAACGAUCCGUAGAUGGUUUGAGAGGACGACCAGCCACACGUGGACUGAGACACGGCCCAGACUCCGACGGGAGGCAGCAGUGGGGAAUUUUGGACAAUGGGGGAAACCCUGAUCCAGCCAUCCCGCGUGUAUGAUGAAUGCCUUCGGGUUGUAAAGUACUUUUGGCAGGGAAGCGGUAUCUGCAGAAUAAGCACCGGCUAACUACGUGCCAGCAGCCGCGGUAAUAC
rnacentral:rRNA from 1 species